rnacentral:lncRNA from 1 species
CCCCUGGGCCGGGAGAGUGUGCCACGUGGGGACUGAUCCUUGCCAGGGGGGCCAGGGAAUGCCUCCCAGAGUUGAUCACAUUGGAGCAGCACUCUCACGGAUGCCUAAGAGGAUGGGAGAUGAGCCACCGGAGGCUUUGCCACCCGGGCGUGUCUGGUUUGCUUUUCAGGUGGAGCAGAGAUUGGAGGGGUCCCGGUGGAGGAUCAUAAGAAUCAGGCAAAACAACAAAUCUGAAGACGGAGUUGAAAUGUGUCUUCACAAUCUCUCAACGUUGCUUUAACCCCCGCUGGCAGAUCUCAAGAUCUUGCAGGAGAAAGACAUGUGGCUUUAAAGGGGACAAGCAAAAACAGCCUGGAGCUGGCUCUGCUCCUGGCCCUGCACGCGGAGGCUGGAGGGCAAGGUGGCCUGUCACGGACGUUGCAGGAGGAUCUGGCCAGCUCCGAUGAGGUCUGGACAAGAUGCCUGACCCAGGAUGCAGCCAUGGAGGGCUGGCAGCCAGCAGUCCACCUUCCCCCAAGAUGCGAAAAGAUGGAAAAGUCUGGGAGUUCCCUGGUGGCCUAGUGGUUAAGGACUUGGCGUUGUCACGGUUCUGGGUUACUACUGCAGCAUGGAUUUGAUUAUGCUGUAGGCAUGGCCAGCCCCCCCAAAAAAACUCCCCAAAACAGGAAAAAUCAAGCAAAACCUGACAUUUUUUGGAUGGGUUUUGUGCUGUCCAUCUAUUUUGGUGUUUUGUUUUUUUUGUUUUUUUUUUUUUGCAGGAGGGUGGGAGCACUCGGCACAGUUUUUCUUUUGGGAAAUAGAAUGUUCUGGUGAGAGAGGACUGCAGAGAUGAUUGUAGCAGAGAAGGCAAAGGGGGAGGCCGGGUGGAGGGUCUUCCUGCUGCCCAGAACCCUGCGUGUGGCAAUCCCAGAUUAAUCCAUCUACACUAGACCCUCCCCAGACUCUGCUCCGGGUCUACACACCUGUGUUGUGCCGUUCAGGAAACCGAGGGGCCCUGUGAGGUCCGGCAGCGAGGGCAGGGCUGAGCUGAGAACCCCCUCCCGCCUCCCCACCGCACCAUCCCCCUGCCAGGGUGCCCAGACUCAGGCGGCGCUGCUGCUCAGGGCGGUGCCUGCACUGAAAGCAGACGCAGCAUCUCAAGCGGGGGUACACCUGGCCGCGGUGUGAAAGUUCACCAGGUGUGCCCUGCCCCCUGCUUUAAAGCUCACUAGGUGAC